AACAGGAUUAGAUACCCUGGUAGUCCACGCCGUAAACGAUGAAGACUAGCUGUCGGGGCUCUUAGAGUUUCGGUGGCGCAGCUAACGCAUUAAGUCUUCCGCCUGGGGAGUACGGCCGCAAGGUUAAAACUCAAAGAAAUUGACGGGGGCCUGCACAAGCGGUGGAGCAUGUGGUUUAAUUCGAAGCAACGCGCAGAACCUUACCAGCGUUUGACAUCCUGAUCGCGGAUAGUGGAGACACUUUCCUUCAGUUCGGCUGGAUCAGUGACAGGUGCUGCAUGGCUGUCGUCAGCUCGUGCCGUGAGAUGUUGGGUUAAGUCCCGCAACGAGCGCAACCCUCGUCUUUAGUUGCCAUCAUUUAGUUGGGCACUCUAAAGAAACCGCCGGUGAUAAGCCGGAGGAAGGUGGGGAUGACGUCAAGUCCUCAUGGCCCAUACGCGCUGGGCUACACACGUGCUACAAUGGCGGCGACAGUGGGCUGCAAUCCCGCGAGGGUGAGCAAAUCUCCAAAAGCCGUCUCAGUUCGGAUUGUUCUCUGCAACUCGAGAGCAUGGAGGCGGAAUCGCUAGUAAUCGCGGAUCAGCACGCCGCGGUGAAUACGUUCCCAGGCCUUGUACACACCGCCCGUCACACCAUGGGAGUUGGAUUGACCCGAAGGCGCUGAGCUAACCCGCAAGGGAGGCAGGCGACCACGGUCGGUUCAGCGACUGGGGUGAAGUCGUAACAAGGUAACC
rnacentral:rRNA from 1 species